CGCACAACAUUCCAGUAACGGUAAAACAUAAUACCCCAAAGUAUCCAGAUGGUGAAAUCGUUCGCCAUUUGAAUGGAGAGAGAGACUUUCGGUGGAAUUCCUCUUUAUACCUGCGUCGGUUUAGUCUUUGCCCUCGAUUUUGCUCAAUCGGUGUACUUCUGGUGCGAAACAUUGCCUCUUGAUUAAUAGUUUUCAAUGGUAGCGAUGAGUUCUAGUAUGAGCUAAGGUCGUGAUAAUCAUUGAAAUUAGACGAGCUUGAGCACGAAGUCAUUUGUCUGCUCGAAUUAAAGAUUAACGAUAUGCACGCCUUUUUCUCUCCUCCGUUUUGUCUGCUCGGGAUUAAAGAUUUGCGAUAUGCUCGCCCCUUUCUCUUCUCCUUUUCGAAUUGGGCAUAUGCUUCUUGUUCUUUUGCUAGCUAGGUUUUUCUUGCCCGGUUCUUUCUCUUAGUUAAGAGUAUUCAGCCCACACCCUUGUUUGUGAACGUAUUCCUUUGAGUCUACACGAUUUUAAUGUUUCUUUGUGAUCUCACCAGGUCCUCAGCUAUCCGGCAGUGAGAAGCACCUCAAGGAUUUCUCACGGCAAGGCAGACUCACUGCGAUCGUUGGUCUCCAAGGCCUCUGCGGUUUAUAUGAAUAUUCAGCUCAUCCACACCCUUCAAUGAGAACGUAUUCGUUGAGUCCAUACGAUUUUGAAUUUUUCUUUGUGAUCCUACCAGGUCCUCAGCUAUCACGCGGUGGGACUCGCACCGAGAUUAUUGAACAUCAUGUGCGUGAUUUGGCCACUGUUGGGUAUCCAGUUAAGAGUGUGAAACAACCAUGCUUCAGUGGCUUCCAUCAUGCUUGUUACUGAAAUUGCGUACAACAUUGUAAGUGAAAGUAAUAGGAUGCUUAUUUUGGCAUUAAUGAUUUGCCAUAGUUCCGUUCCUUCGCCACCCCCAACCUCUGUGUUCGUAUGUGAAAUGAAUGCAGCCGUUGUUUUAAUUUUUUUCCCCCCGAUCAGUCUGGUGAAGAUUGAUUCAUUGUAUGCUUAUAACUCUCCUCAUGGGAAGAUUCCAAUUGGUAAGCUUCUUUGCAACAGAGUCCUUUUUGCCUCAUUUGGUAUGUUAUUUUCCAUAUAGUAGUAGUGCUUUUAUGGUGACUACAUAUUUCAAUUACUUGAGACAAAAUUAUUCGUUCAACUAGGUCUAUUUUAUCAGAAUAUUUGCUUUGAUCUGGAUUCAUAGAAAAGUAGAUGUUGAAAAUGUGGUCGGUAACCAAUAUAUUGCCUGCAGAGUUUAGCAAUCCUUAAGCUAUAUUGUGCCACCUAUUGUGUACUAGAAUGUUGUAGAUGAUGUCAUUCCUGAUUGUACUGCUAUGACUUUUUAUAUGGGUUUAAACUUUAAAAAAGUCUUAAGAACCAAUUAUCAUAAUUUGUUUCAUGUUUGGUGAUUCUCUAUCACGGAAUAGCUCUUGCUAGUUCCUUUUGUUUGUUGUUGAGGUACAGGGGUUGUUUCUUUAUUGCUUUUCUUGUUUAAACAAGAAAGUUUUCAUGUUUCAUUUACAUGGAGAUGACACUAUUAAGGAUUUUUUCAACCAGUUUCUUGUUUGGAUUGAUGGGUUGUUCCCCCCUCUAUCUCUUUAUGUUUUUUAUUAGUGAAAAAUUAAAAUUUUCUUUUGUUCUUCAGUGAAUCACCUUCAAAAACUCUUGAGUGGUACCUAGAUAUAAAGAAUUUUAUAAUCAAUACUUCUAUGAUUUUUUUUUUUUUAUAUUCAUUUUGAUUCAGCUACUUCUUUUCCCUUUUCAUCUGACUCUUUUAUUUUUAAAUUUUUUGUACAUGUUGCAAAGGCUAAGAGAUCCUUGAUUGACGAAGCCUUACUAGAAACUGAACAGAGAUGAGUUAAGGUCCGAAGUCUAGAACUUCUAAACCAGGAAAGGAAAUCCAAUCUUCCAAUAUUAAGUAUCAAGGAUUUCUACAUCCUUCCAGCACCUAUUUGCGCCACUUAAUUUUAGAAAGCAAGAUAAAGGAACAGUGCUUUGCAGAGCAUUAGCUAAAUAUGGGGGGUAAUAGCAUUUUAAUUAAUUUGUUCUUGCUCUGUUAUUUGAUGGUU